GACGAACGCUGGCGGCGUGCCUAACACAUGCAAGUAGAACGCACAGUUUAUACUUUAGCUUGCUACACCAUACACUGUGAGUUGCGAACGGGUGAGUUACGCUUAGGUAACCUGCCUGGUAGCUUGGGAUAACUAUUGGUAACGCUAGCUAAUAGCGCAUAAUAUUGGUUAUUGCUUGAAAAUUGAUUGAAGGUUGCUAUUGCAUCACUACUAGAUGGAUCUGCGUUGUAUUGGCUAGUAGGUGAGGUAUCGGCUCAUCUAGGCGACGAUACAUAGCCGAGCUGCGAGGGUGGUCAGCCACCCUGGGAGUGGGACACGGCCCAGAGUCCUACGGGAAGGAGCAGGAGGGAAACUUCGGCAAGGGGGGGAAGUCAGACCGAGAAAGGCCGAGGGAGGGAAGAAGGUUGUCGGGUCGUAAAGGUCUGUUGUAAGGGGAGAAAGGGUGUGAGCCUGGGAAGUUGAGACUGUGACGGUAACUGACCAAAAAGCAACGGCUAACUACGUG
rnacentral:rRNA from 1 species